UUUUUUUUUUCUUCUUUUUUUUCUGGCACUUGCACAAGCCUAAUGGAAACCACAGCAGGCCUGCUCCUGCAGAGUCAGAGUAGGGAAGGAACUCUGAUGUGCUUCAAGCUUCCAAGAUGGUCCCUACUGUAUGUGCAGAUGCAUGCACCCACAUCCCAGUCUCAGACACACCAGAGGGAAAACCCACAAGCUGAAGCCUUGCACUGAGGGGCUGCAUUCCCCAGUGAUGUGAGGACGGAUGUGUUAAAAGACAGUGGGGUUGCAUAAAAGUGGAGGCAAGAGGGAUCUCCGUGGCUGGGCCCUCCCUUCAUAGAACCAUGACGUUUGGAAAAGACCUCUCAAUUCAUCUAGUUCAACUGUCCACCUACCAAUACUGCCCACUAAACCAUGACCCUAAGUACAACCAUGUUUCUUGGUUCUCCAUCAAGAAACAUGUUCUCCAUGUUUCUUGAUCACCUCCUUCCGUCUCUUCCAACCAGGGUAACAACAUGAUAACCAUCCCUAGCUAAUGACUUGGGGGGUGAUUUGCGAUUUCCCUUUGUGCUUACUCUUUUGAAAUCUAUUAGCAUUACUCCUAAAAGUCAACUUAACGCUGCAGUGGGUAAUUAUGUGGAAGGAUUUUCAAGCACACGUUCCUGCAUGAGGUGUUGUGCUCUCCAGAAAGCCUAUCAGGGGUCUGUCUGACAGAAGACCUCAUGAGUUGAUACUGGAAAGAUGAACGAGACCUCAUAUCUCAUCCAAGAAAUUAACAAGGAAGACUGUGCUGAUUAAUUAAGACCAGAUGCAAAACCUCCGUGCUGCCUUGGAGGGUGGGCUAUAGCCAUGUGGGUCUUCUACACAGAGUGCAAACAUCAUCUCUACUAUGAUACUUAAACAGAAGAAAUACCACUCCUCUGGAGAAAAGUCUCCAUUUGAACACCUCUGCCAAUGGGAUUGCUUAGAAAAUCCCACAUAGAAUGUGAGUGUCAUCCUAUCGCUGAGCUCAACAUUUUGGAUAACAGCCCUACAGUUUAGGCUUAUCUUUUCCUCUUUUCCUUAUUAUUAGCAAACUAUUGCCCGUUGUUUGUUUUUUUUUCCUAACAGAAAAGAUCAUUAAUGUUGUGCCUAGAACCACACUGACUUCAUUUACUCAGCAACGCGUGUCCUCUGACCUACCUGUCAAAGACACGCUUCAAAAUACAGCGUUGUGUAGCACACUGCAGUACAAAACACAAAGGACAAUUAUACCAUGAUUUCGACUUUCAGCUGGAGAAGAUGGUAAUUACACACUGUAUAAAUAGAUGUGCAGUGAAGUAGCUUUGUAAUUACAGUGUAACUAAGCUGUAGCUAAUUUACCUACAUUCUGAAGUGUAUCUAAAGUUAGUAAUUAUGGCCAGCACAUGAUGAAAUACUAGCAAUAUACUUACCUUC
ensembl:lncRNA